rnacentral:rRNA from 1 species
UUUUUGAGUUUGAAUCGUGCUCAGGACGAACGCUGGCGGCGUGCUUAAUACAUGCAAGUCGAACGCUUUUUCUUUCACCGGAGCUUGCUCCAUCGAAAGAAAAAGAGUGGCGAACGGGUGAGUAACACGUGGGUAACCUGCCCAUCAGAAGGGGAUAACACUUGGAAACAGGUGCUAAUACCGUAUAACACUAUUUUCCGCAUGGAAGAAAGUUGAAAGGCGCUUUGCGUCACUGAUGGAUGGACCCGCGGUGCAUCAGCUAGUUGGUGAGGUAACGGCUCACCAAGGCAACGAUGCAUAGCCGACCUGAGAGGGUGAUCGGCCACACUGGGACUGAGACACGGCCCAGACUCCUACGGGAGGCAGCAGUAGGGAAUCUUCGGCAAUGGACGAAAGUCUGACCGAGCAACGCCGCGUGAGUGAAGAAGGUUUUCGGAUCGUAAAACUCUGUUGUUAGAGAAGAACAAGGAUGAGAGUAAAAUGUUCAUCCCUUGACGGUAUCUAACCAGAAAGCCACGGCUAACUACGUGCCAGCAGCCGCGGUAAUACGUAGGUGGCAAGCGUUGUCCGGAUUUAUUGGGCGUAAAGCGAGCGCAGGCGGUUUCUUAAGUCUGAUGUGAAAGCCCCCGGCUCAACCGGGGAGGGUCAUUGGAAACUGGGAGACUUGAGUGCAGAAGAGGAGAGUGGAAUUCCAUGUGUAGCGGUGAAAUGCGUAGAUAUAUGGAGGAACACCAGUGGCGAAGGCGGCU